rnacentral:tRNA from 1 species
GGGAGUAUAGCUCAGUUAGGUAGAGCAGCUGCCUUUUAAGCAGACGGUCGGAGGUUCGAAUCCUCCUGCUCCCACCA